GCUAAGCCGAAAGUCUGACGGAGCACGCCGCGUGAGUGAUGAAGGUUUUCGGAUCGUAAAGCUCUGUUGUUAGGGAAGAACAAGUGCCGUUCAAAUAGGGCGGCACCUUGACGGUACCUAACCAGAAAGCCACGGCUAACUACGUGCCAGCAG
rnacentral:rRNA from 1 species